UGUAUAAGUGCAUGUGUGUAUAUGUGUGAGUGCGAAUAAAUGUGUGCAGUUGUGUGCUUGUGUGUACACUGAAACUAUGGGCUAUAGUUAAGAGGCCGCGUCUAACCAAUCAGAGGAACAGUGACAAGGCAGGAUGUAGGCAGCAGCAGAGGAAAUGCAACAGAUGUGACAAAUGAUUGUGUUAGACAACAGAACACACUCAAAGGCAAAUUGGUUGUUGGAGGCAGUAAAGAAAGGGGAGGCGUUUGGGGCUCUCAUGAUGAUGUCUCUAGUUAAAGGCCUUGGGAGAAUGAUGCAUCAUUGGCUUAGCUGAGACACGGGGAGAACAAUGAAGUUGAUUUUGAACGCACCGGAGAAGGUAUGUUUGCUGGGGAUGGAGGCAGCUGUUUCUGAAGCUCCUAACAUGGAGGAAGGACAUUGCAGUGACCAGAAGAGAAAGAGGAUAUUCUGGGACAGGGUCAAGACCCCUGCUGAUGCUCCCAGGCAAAGAGUUAAGGCUUAGGUUGGAACAGUCCCAGCUCCAUCUGCAGGGCUGGCCCUGGUUCCCAGGUCUCCUGUCACAUUGACACCCCUCUCUGCUUGUCACGAGUCAGGCACUGACAGCCUCAAUGGUGCUGGCGAUUUAUCAGAGAGUGGAAAAAGAUAAUUGACCAUCAUCUCGCCUCACCUCACCUCGCCUCCGCUGAUAGAGAAAAAUUUAACUGCUUCAUUCCACUAUAAUUUCACAUAAUUCUCCAUCUUUCUCUCCCACGUUUUUACAUGGAAGUUUACAAAAGUGAUUGAUGAUUUGCUAUCAAAUAUAAAGAAAAAGAAGCUAAACUAUCACCGGACAGUUUAACAGCCUUUAAAAUAUAAUGGUUUCUCUGGCUGGACAUCCACAGUUGCCGUAGAAUCUCAGAAGGUCAAGCUUUAAUGAACUGGAUCCCCCACAGGAUCUGGGACUCACUGAUUUGGCGAGACUGUCUGUCCAGUGAACUCCAGGGAUGCUCUAGUUUCUAAACAAUGGGAUUGCAGGCAUUUGCUGACCCAGCUUUUGUACUUCGUUCUGGGGAUCUAAAUUGAGGUCCUUAUGAUUGUGUAGCAAGCACUUUACCCACUGAGCCAUCUCCCCAGUCCCUCUGACUCAGACACACCUAACCUAACCUAUAGUUCCAGGGCGGUGCUGCCCUUUAUAGCCAGAGAAGGCAAGCUCUCCGUUGCCAUCGCUUCUGGUCCCUGACUUGCUUCCUUGUCCUGUUUUGGCAGUGAAGAAUCGCUCCAUAGCCUCCUUUGCAUACAAACCUCCCAGCUUAUCUGUGUCUAGGAGGAGGACCGGCACUUAGCUUCUGUAUGUCAUCCACUCCACACCAUGCUCUCUACACGGUCUUGAUGAGUGUUUUUCUUUAAUUCUUGAGGUUGUUAUUGUAAUAUUUACAUAUAGUGCAAGAAUGUAAAGUUCAGAAAUCAUGGCUAGUGGCUAAAAAGAUUCCCGGUGAUCCCUACUUCUCAGUGUCUGUGCCCUUGUCUAACUGCCCUCUUUGGAGGGUGGGCAGGGUGCUGUGGCUUGUUUCUAAUGUGCAGAAUAUGGUAGGUGAUGGGAUGUCACUUCCAGGAUUAGGAUUAUAAAGUGACUGUCCUUUCCAAGUGUCUCUUUACUGCUUGAUGUGUAUGGACGCUUGCUGCCAUGACGUGCGCUGCCUGGCAGAAAGACCUGGAUGGCAAGGGACCAAGGAAGGCAUCCAGCCAGCAUCCUGGGCUGACCUGAAUGAUGGCACCGGCUUCAUGGCAGACCUCAGCUGAGCCUUGAGUGAAACUGCAGUUUAUGCUGUCACCUCGAUUGCCACCCGUGACACCCCGAGAAGACACUCCUGGAUCCAUGACUCACAGAAACUAUACAAUCGAACAUGCAUGCUAUUUGACAAGGCCAUGUUUUAUUGUCCUUUGCUACCCAGACUCAAAAUUGGGACUGCUUGUUGUUAAAGUAUUGUGAUAUUUAUAAUAACACUAUUUUGACUUAGAAAAGAUCAGAGGGACUAGAGAGAUAACUCAGGAGGAAAAAGGUCUUGCCAUAUAGUAUAAGUACUUGAGUUUGAAUCCCCUGCAUGAAAAGCCACUCAUGUGUGUGCAACACCCAUGCCCCGCCCCCAUAACACACACACACACACACACACACACACACACACACACACACACACAAACGUGCGCACAACCGAGACUGGCAUGCACUUGUAGCUCCAAAAUGAGUGCUCUUUUGCUAGCAGAGUUCCGAGAGGUCCAGAGGGUCAGGGUCUCAUAUGUCCCGUGGUCUUCACCGCACUGUUGAGCCUUGUGGUGUGGUUGCAGCCUGGAGUCUGGAGGAUGGUGACUGCUUCUCCACAGAGCUCUUUCCCAUUAGACAGACGGUUCUGGAACAUCUGCCCAGAAGUAGUCCAGUUGAUUUAAGGAUCUUUGCUUUUAAUUUUUGGUGCCUUUCAGAGGAAAGAGAAAAAUAAGGUUAGUUUCCUGAAGUGUAAUUGCUUCGGGCAGUUAUUUAUUAAUGAAAAGGAACAACAUGUCAACAAGGCCCAGGCUUGCUUUAGGACUAAUGUUAGCUGAGGUGCAGGCUAGAGGAAAGGUAAGCCUGCUGUCACUCUGCAUUUGUCCAGUUCUGUGGUCACCUAUUAAUUAUCUGUGCACUGGGCUCUGGCAGGGGACAGUUUUCACUUCCUCCCCACUGAGGGUUACUGAGCUCUGGGGGACAUGAGAAGCAACUUCUCUGACACAGGCUUCCUGGAGGAGUUUCUAGAUCUGGGAAAUCCUCUCAAGAUUCUGCCACCUGCCCCAGGAUGAAAAGAGGAAGAGACAGAGCUCUAGGGGUAUUUUUGAAGACAUGGGGUGCAGAGCUUUGACCUCCAUCUCUCUGGCAUGAAAAAGAAUGGCUUUUAGUCAGUACUUCAGAGUCCAGAGAAACACCAAUGUGAUAAUGUACUUAAAACUUAAAUGAUAUAAAGCACUCUGCAAUCUCCACUCCCCUCUCUCGGUGUGUGUGUGUGUGUGUGUGUGUGUGUGUGUGUGUACAUGUUCCUGUGAGUUUAGUCAGCUGAGGUCAGGCUCAGGGAAUAAUACAAACUAGAUAAUGAACACUUGACCAGAAAUUGCAAAGUGCCUGUCAAAGGUUCUGUAAACUGCAGUGAAUAGAAUUUCUGUCUGAUCGUAGUUUAGUCCACAAAGAUGCUCAUGAUUCCUUGACUUGGGUAGCCCCACAGCUCUCUGUUGUGACCAAGCAUUCAGGCAUGCUGCCAUCUUCGGGCAUGGACUUUGACCUCAUGGACCCCAAUAUACUACAUGUAAGCAAACCAUUAGCUAUAUUCUAUGUUAUUGUGAAAGGCAAUUAUUAUGCAGAAGACCCUGAGCAGAAUCACUACAGCUGUUCAGAACUGGUCAUACUAAUAUGCUUCUUGUGUAGUGUCUGGAGAAAGUAUGUAUCUUUCCUUUGUUUGUUUGUUUUUCCAUCAUCAACAGAGAGAAAUAAGCAAGAACAUCUACAAAAAUCACAUGGAUGUUAGAAUAGGAAGGAAACUUAGAGACGAUCUGAAUUAACACCAUAAAAAGACAUGAAAAGCCCAGAGGGUUCACUAGCCUAUCCAAAUUCACCAAGUGUAUAGACAGUACUAUAUAGUACUUUAUAUUUAGAAGAAAACUAAAGAUAGAACAUUGGCAUAUUUCACAUGGGUUAAAAGGGAUUCGAACCAAAGAUACAUUUGUUUAGGAUUUCCAAAAACAUCUGUUGCUUCUUUCUACCAAGUUGUAUGGUUUUUCUCCUUUAGUUUUAUCUCCUCUUACUCUUUUUUGGAAAAUAAAAGCAAAUGAACUUGCA